GACGAACGCUGGCGGCGUGCCUAACACAUGCAAGUCGAACGGAGUUAUUGAUCAGCUUGCUGAGAGAUAACUUAGUGGCGGACGGGCGAGUAACGCGUGAGCAACCUGCCCUUCAGUGGGGAAUAACGACCGGAAACGGUCGCUAAUACCGCAUAAUAUGUUCUUGUGGCAUCACGAGGAUAUCAAAGGAGCAAUUCGCUGAAGGAUGGGCUCGCGUCCGAUUAGCUAGUUGGUGGGGUAACGGCCCACCAAGGCGACGAUCGGUAGCCGAACUGAGAGGUUGAUCGGCCACAUUGGGACUGAGACACGGCCCAGACUCCUACGGGAGGCAGCAGUGGGGGAUAUUGCGCAAUGGGGGAAACCCUGACGCAGCAACGCCGCGUGAUGGAAGACGGUCUUCGGAUUGUAAACAUCUGUUGCAAGGGAGAAAAAAUGACGUUACCCUCAGAAGAAGCACCGGCUAACUCCGUGCCAGCAGCCGC
rnacentral:rRNA from 1 species